rnacentral:rRNA from 1 species
UACGGAGGAUGCAAGCGUUAUCCGGAUUUAUUGGGUUUAAAGGGUGCGUAGGCGGGAUGCCAAGUCAGCGGUAAAAUGCGGUGCUCAACGCCGUCGAGCCGUUGAAACUGGCGUUCUUGAGUGGGCGAGAAGUAUGCGGAAUGCGUGGUGUAGCGGUGAAAUGCAUAGAUAUCACGCAGAACUCCGAUUGCGAAGGCAGCAUACCGGCGCCCUACUGACGCUGAGGCACGAAAGCGUGGGUAUCGAACAGG